AACGCAUAUUGCGCUUUAGGCUUCGGCCAAGAGCAUGUCUGCCUCAGCAUCGGGUUAAUAUCACUGCCAUAAAUAUUUAUAUUUAUGCGGAGUGGAUCUGGCCGUCCCAGUGACUGGCGCAGUGGGCAACCGCUGUGCCUGAUUGAUCUGGGUCGGCUGAAAAACAGAGCGCUGGCCAAGGACCCGCUACGGGGCCGCAACUGGGUAGGUUUUAGGGAUCUCUGCAGACCUGUGUGCUGCAGGGAGCCCCUACUAUCAACGCUUAGUUGUUGGUCUUGGGACCCUUAGUGCCUGGCCCACAACCCAGGAAACCAACCUUUAUUUCCUCGAUCUGAGCUCAGGCAAGAACACCCGCUGAACUUAA
rnacentral:misc_RNA from 1 species